GGGAGCCCCCGCCCCCGGCCCCCUCCUGGGCAUGGGCUCCAGCCUGCUGACCCGUCCUUCCUGCAAGGCCUGGCCCGCGGGAGGCCCUGCCGUGGGCUCCCCCCUCCACGCUGUGCAUGCCGGGCUAAGGGGCAGGGGGCCUGGUCAGGCCUUAGCCGUGUGCCCGGGGCUGGGGCCGCGAGCAGACUCCAGCAGCGUCUGUGCCGUCGGACACCUGAGCUGCAGCCUGUGUCCAGAGCCUCCCUGGGGCGUGUCCAGAGGCCCAAGCGCCCAAGCACCACAGCCCACGCCCCGCCGCCCCGGCCGUGGAGGGCGAGCACGGGAGGCAGAGGCCAGGCCCUGUCCCUGCUGACGCGUUACUGGGCGCCUGCGCCACAGCAUCUCCAGACGCUGCACGUCCAGGCAAAACCAGGAAGAACGUCCCAGAAAGUCCAGCUCCGCGGCUCCCCUGCCCCUUCCCCAGGCCGCCCCGGGUGCCCUGGGGAGCUGGCCAGGGGGCGGGGUCAGCACGGAGCACGCUGGGCCGAGUGGCUGUGUGCUCAAGGCGGGCUGGACGCUGGCCGGACGCUGGAGGGUUUCUGCUGCAGCCAGGGGACUCCAGGAGUCCCCACCCCUGAGCUCCGGUGUCCCCACUCACGCACAAGGACACGCGUGCACUUACGUGUACACACACGUGCAUGCACACACGUGCACGCUCAGGUUUCCGGGACCCAGGAACUUGUUCCUGGCCUCACAAGCCACUUGGGACCGUCCCCUCGGGGAGAUGUCCCCUCCUUAGCCUGCCCCAGGACCACCCACACAGCAAGGAGGGCAUGGUGCCCGGGCCCCCACCAGGCUGCUGCUCCCUCGAGUGACCAAGGCACCCUGCCAAGGUCUUGGGGACGUGAAGGCAUCUGGAGGAACAGAGGACCCCCACCAGGUCCCUUGGCCCCACCAGAAGAAACCACACAGGAGCCCCCAAGGCCAGGGGCUCCCCCACAAAACCCCAUGAGUCCCCGAGCCUCCCCCGAGCCUCCGCAGGUGCCACAGGCAGGAGCACAGGCCUGGAGCCGCCCUGGACGGAGCGCCCAGUCACCGCGGUGGGAACAGAAGUGGACUGUGCAGUGA
rnacentral:lncRNA from 1 species